rnacentral:rRNA from 1 species
AACGAACGCUGGCGGCAUGCCUAACACAUGCAAGUCGAACGAGACCUUCGGGUCUAGUGGCGCACGGGUGCGUAACGCGUGGGAAUCUGCCCUUGGGUUCGGAAUAACAGUUGGACACGACUGCUAAUACCGGAUGAUGACGUAAGUCCAAGGAUUUAUCGCCCAAGGAUGAGCCCGCGUAGGAUUAGCUAGUUGGUGAGGUAAAGGCUCCCCAAGGCGACGAUCCUUAGCUGGUCUGAGAGGAUGGUCAGCCACACUGGGACUGAGACACGGCCCAGAAUCCUACGGGAGGCAGGAGUGGGGGAUAUUGGAACAUGGGGGAAGUCCUGAUGCAGCAAGGCCGGGUGAGUGAUGAAGGCCGUAGGGUUGUAAAGCUCUUUUACCCGGGAUGAUAAUGACAGUACCGGGAGAAUAAGCUCCGGCUAACUCCGUG